rnacentral:rRNA from 1 species
UACGUAGGGGGGCAAGCGUUGUCCGGAUUUAUUGGGCGUAAAGAGCGUGUAGGCGGCCAUGCAGGUCAGCUGUGAAAACUCGAGGCUCAACCUCGAGACGUCGGUUGAAACCGUAUGGCUAGAGUCCGGAAGAGGAGAGUGGAAUUCCCGGUGUAGCGGUGAAAUGCGCAGAUAUCGGGAAGAACACCUAUGGCGAAGGCAGCUCUCUGGGACGGUACUGACGCUGAGACGCGAAAGCGUGGGGAGCAAACAGG